GACGAACGCUGGCGGCGUGCUUAACACAUGCAAGUCGAGCGAACAGACGAGGAGCUUGCUGCUCGGUCGUUAACGGCGGGCGGGGGAGUAACACGUGGAGAACCUCCCUAUAAGACUGGAACAACUACGGGAAACGGGCUCAAAUACCAGAAUAUAUCUUGAACCGCAGGGUUCACUUGUGAAUAACGGUUUUGUUGGCUGUUAUAGAUGGAUCCGCGCCGUCUUAGCUUGUUGGGAAGGUAACGGCUUACCAAGGCGACGAUGGGUAGCCGACCUGAGAGAGUGAUCGCCCACACUGGAUGUGAGACAGAGUCCAGACUCCGACGCGAGGACGCAGUAGGGAAUCUUCCGCAAUGGGGGAAAGCCUGACGGAGCAACGCGGCGUGAGUGAUGAAGGUGCUCGGCUCGUAAAGCUCUGUUAUUAGUGGAGAACAAAUGUGUAAGUAACCAUGCAGGUAUUGACGGUACCGGAUCAAUAAGCCACGGCUAACUACGUG
rnacentral:rRNA from 1 species